rnacentral:lncRNA from 1 species
CCUCUGUCCUCUUGGAUUUUCUUUAUCCUAAUGAAUAAAGCCAUGGCGACUCAUAAGGCUUUUUGUGUUCAUCUGUUGUGGAGCUUAUGGAAGGGAAGGAAUGAGACGAUCUUUGAGGGGAAAAUUUUCUCUAUCACUACCAUCAUUUCACAAGCUCGCAGCUGGACAAUCUUAUAUUCUAAAGAGAACAUGAUGAGGAUUAGCAUUUAGGACCAACUCUGAUUCAAGAACCUGCAACCUUUUCCUUACAUGUGUGGGGUGGAUGGGAGAUGGAAAGGUGACACUGCAAGUGGUGUAGGAUGCUUGAUCACCAAUCAACAUGGAAUCAUUAUGUGCAUCUCUGAUGUACUGCAGGAUGUCCAUGACGCUUGCUCUGCGGAAAUUGGAGCAAUUUUCCGAGCAACAAAUCUUUUGUUGCAAAGGUUUUCUGGAGAAACUUUUCAUGUUUACUCAGAUUCAGCACCCAUCAUUAAAGCCUUACACCUUAGGAGCUAUCAUUCAGAUUCACUAACAGCUGAAGCUCGGAUAAGGAUCAGGGAUCUUUAGACUUUUCUAGAAAGAUCCAAGCAAUUUAGCUAUGGAUGGUCUUCAAGAUAUUCUAAAAAUGCUAUAGUUGCAUAUCGCUUGGCCAACUAGGGACUCACUAGCAACAAACUUUUUUUUGGUCCUCUAUCGAAGAAUAAAUAAAAUCGGCUUAGGACGUGUU